rnacentral:rRNA from 1 species
GACGAACGCUGGCGGCGUGCUUAACACAUGCAAGUCGAACGGAAAGGCCCUGCUUUUGUGGGGUGCUCGAGUGGCGAACGGGUGAGUAACACGUGAGUAACCUGCCCUUGACUUUGGGAUAACUUCAGGAAACUGGGGCUAAUACCGGAUAGGAGCUCCUGCUGCAUGGUGGGGGUUGGAAAGUUUCGGCGGUUGGGGAUGGACUCGCGGCUUAUCAGCUUGUUGGUGGGGUAGUGGCUUACCAAGGCUUUGACGGGUAGCCGGCCUGAGAGGGUGACCGGCCACAUGGGGACUGAGAUACGGCCAGGACUCCUACGGGAGGCAGCGGGGGGGAUUAUGGCACAACGGGCGGAAGCCGGAUGCAGAAACGCCGCGUGCGGGAUGAGGGCCUUCGGGUUGUAAACCGCUUUCGCCGGUGACGAAGCGGGAGUGACGGUAAUGGGUAAAGAAGCACCGGCUAACUACGG